rnacentral:lncRNA from 1 species
CUUUCACUUCCGCAUGAUCUCUGCGGGUGGCACUCUGCAAUUAAGUCAUUUGAGACACCGCAUUUAUUAUCACUGUGGAUCUCUGCUCCUUGGGUGUUGAGUUACCAAUUCUUUGAAGAAACAUAUUUUGAAGAGGUAUGAGAGGAAGGAAUACAUUUUAUAAAAUGUUACAGUGAAGCCCACAAUUGACCUUUCACUAAUAGGAGUUUUAAGUAUGUUAAAAAUCUAUACUGGACAGUUACAAGAAAUUACCAGAGAAAGAGAAGCUUGUGAGCUUGCCAAACAAGGAUUUCAGGGUAGAUUUUUAUCUUUCACAAAUGAACUUAAAGGAACAAAUGACAGUUAAAGUUUGAAUGGAAGAGCCUGCUGUCGUUCCACAUCUAGUUGUUGCUGUUUAUAUUCCUUUGUGGAGCCUACAUUUUCCUAAGCUUUUUAGUCAUCGCUGCAGAAAGAUAAAAGAAAUAUCCACACAUCCUUCCUACCUGGGGUGGGGUCAAGGAUGAAGUUUAGGAGGCCAAAGUUGAGUGGUGCGGAUCAGGAUCCCAGAGAUCACAGGAAACACCUAGAGCACAGUCAGAUAUGGUGGUGGGUUGGAAACCGA